rnacentral:lncRNA from 1 species
CGUGCGACAAUUCCUAAAGAAAAUUUUGGCUGCCAGUUAUUGAAUAUGCCAAAAACGUAAACACUAGUACUCGAGGAAUUGGAUUCUGAUGGGUAAGAUGCGUGUCCAGGACGGCUGUGAGGGAGGCCAUACAGAUAAAACUCGUGUUGAACGAGCCAGACGUAUAUGCAUGCGCGACUCCAUAGGCGACAAACUCAACAGUCCUGUUGCAUAUGCUGGCCCUUCUCGAUUUCUUUAUGAUG